rnacentral:rRNA from 1 species
UACGUAGGGCGCAAGCGUUGUCCGGAAUUACUGGGCGUAAAGGGCUCGUAGGCGGUCUGUUGCGUCAGGAGUGAAAACUCGGGGCUUAACCCCGAGCCUGCUUCUGAUACGGGCAGACUAGAGGUAUGCAGGGGAGAGCGGAAUUCCUGGUGUAGCGGUGAAAUGCGCAGAUAUCAGGAGGAACACCGGUGGCGAAGGCGGUGCUCUGGGCAGUACCUGACGCUGAGGAGCGAAAGCAUGGGGAGCGAACAGG